rnacentral:rRNA from 1 species
AACGAACGCUGGCGGCGUGCCUAACACAUGCAAGUCGAACGAAGAGCUCUGGUAUCUUGCUUCUCUGAUUCUUAGUGGCUAACGGGUGAGUAACGGGUAAUCAACCUCCCCUUCAGAGGGGUACAACAGCUGGAAACUACUGCUAAUACCUCAUACUAUCUCACCUCGGCAUCGAGGAGAUGUGUUAGGUGGCCUCUAUGGAUAAGCUCUCACAGGAGGAGGAUCCUGCGUUUGAUUGGCUAGUUGGUGGGCUAACGUCCAACAAAGGCGAUGAUCAGUAGCAGGCAUGAGAGGAGACGCGGCCACAUUGGGACUGAGACAAGGCCCAGAAUCCUACGGGAGGCAGCCGUGGGGGACUCUCCGGGAUGGAAGAAAGUCUGACGGAGCAACGACGCGUGAGUGAUGACGGCAUCCGGGUUGUAAAGCUCUGGUAAUCGGGACGAAAGGAAUUCUUGCGAACAGUGGAAAGGAUUGACGGUACCGGAAGAGAAAGCUACGGCUAACUACGUG